rnacentral:misc_RNA from 1 species
GUGAAUCAUCGAAUCUUUGAACGCACAUUGCGCCCGCCAGCAUUCUGGCGGGCAUGCCUGUUCGAGCGUCAUUUCAACCCUCGAGCUCCCUUUGGGGAGCCCGGCGUUGGGGACCGGCCUCUACCGCCGCCCCCGAAAUACAGUGGCGGCCCCGUCACGGCGACCUCUGCGUAGUAACUUAACCUCGCACCGGAAACCCGACGUGGCCACGCCGUAAAACACCCCACUUCUGAACGUUGACCUCGGAUCAGGUAGGAAUACCCGCUGAACUUAAGCAUAUCAAUAAGCGGAGGA